UGCGUGAAUCGUUAUUCAUUUGAAUCCCAGUGCGUGAUUCGUUAUUCUAAAUGCGUGAUUAGUAUUAUGUCACGUUGAAUUACACGUGCGUAAAAAAAAAAUGAGCAUUCGUAAUUCCGUUUUUCCAGCUUAUGAUAAUAAUGACACUUUCAUAUGUGUCAACUGUAGUUGUAUUUUGAUUUUCCAGUGCGUAAAGUAAUUUGGAAUUUGUAACAUCGUUAUUGGUUCCUUUCAUGCGUCAAGUGACAGUAACUAUAGAUUUAAUCUCUACAUUUAAAUUCAUCUUUAAUUCCUAUGUUCUUCUUAAGCUAUAUUCAUAUUCUUUUAAAAGUUGAUUACAAGUUUUAUUUUCCAUAUCUAAUCAUAUUGUUUUAAUACAUGAUAAUGCAAAUCAAUCAUCAUGUUUAUAGUACUUCGGUAUUCCUUUUUAUACAUGUAUUAUAAUCGUGUUAUUCUGUAUUAUGUCAAUUUCAAAUGGAAGCGUUGCAGCAGAAUAAUUAACGAACAUUAUCGUGGCUUCCAAAGACUUAUUUCCAAUGGACAAUUCGUUUAUAUAAUAAACUACACGUGUGUCAAGAACUGUGCAAUAUGUUUCGAAGAAACUUUUUAAAUGUGAUUGUGAUGGACAUUCGCCAUACAAUGGCUAAUAACAGUGUUUCACUUAAAGUAUUUCUUCAUAUAUAUUCAGUGACGAUUAAUUUAUUUCAAUUCAAGAUAUUAUCCUUUUCAUUCAAUAUUUAUACUAUUAUUCAUGUUUCAGAGUCGACUAUUCCUUGGAUUGCACAUCGGAAUUUCUAUUGAUGUGUAUAUCCCUUUUAGACAUAUUAUAUGUUUUAUUCUUUAAUAUGUCACAUAAUAUGCUCUGCUCAUUUAUUUCCUUGUUUGUAUAUAUUAGGAUGCCAGGAGGCAUCAAUUUGUUCGAGCAGGGGGAGCAUUGUUACAGAAUUUUAUGCUCCGUGUAUAUAUUUUGUUUAUAUUUUUAUAUAUCACUUACCCUGUAUAUUUUGUGUAUAUUUUAUUUAUAUCAAAUGCUAUUUUAAUAAUGUUAUGUUCUUAAUUUGUAGAUAAAUUAUUUUGUAUAUACGUUUUUAAAAUAGAAAAAAAAGAAAAAAAAAGGAAUAUGCAAAUGUCACAAUAAUGAUUUUACUUAAUAAUUAGUUAAUAUUAUUUUUUAUGUCGAAAUCUUUAAUUACUUAUUUCUUUAAUUUUCAAAUUAACGUCAAUUGUUAAAUAAGCCUCACAGGACCGCUUAGUAUUUUAAUUACAUAAUUCAACCUGUUUUGACAUCUUACCUGGCACCUGUGAGCGUCUUAAUUACAUAAUUUGAACAGUGGUUAUUAACACUAAUUAUAAUGAUUGUUACCUGUUCGUUUCAUUUUUAUCCACGCCCAUAAGUAAUUAAAUAUCCAAUUAUAUUUUAUAUUUCGGGAUUAACUUUAUGGGCGUGACUUUGUAAUUAUCGUCGAAAUAAAACCAAAAGCCAAACGCAAAUUGUCACCUUUGACAUUUGCGAUCUAAAUUCAUAAACUUUAUAUUUUGGCCUUAUUUCAAUAUUUGGUUUUAUUUCGAAGGUAAAUAUAUUUUCAUUUUAUGUUAUUUUUAAUUGUCAAUUUUAAGAACUGUUUAUAUUGUGAGUUUAACCUUUUGACAUUUGCGAUCUAAAUUAAUAAACUUUAUAUUUUG
rnacentral:sRNA from 1 species